rnacentral:lncRNA from 1 species
AUGCUUGGGUCGGGAUUGACACCUCCAUCCUCAGCUGAACUGUCCCCUCCCCAGCUCCCCUGGGCCGCCGCCGCCGCCACCUCCACCUCCACCGGUCUGAGCACCUCCUCCACCUGCCCUCCUGUUGCAUCUGCGCGUUCACACCGGUCCUGUUGCUCUGGAGACUCUAAUAGCGAGCCGCUGGGGUUUUGUCAUCACGAGCAGAUGGUUCUCGUGGUUCUGGCGGGCAGGGGGGUAAAGCGGGUCCCCUCUCGUCAGUCACACACUCCCUGGAGUGUUCCAGCCCAUCGGCACCACGGAAGCCCCCCUCCAAGCCUCGUCGGGAAGCCCACCUGGUCCCCGGCCCUGGGGCGGAGGAUGGGAGAGGGACCCUUGGCCUUUGCCACAAGGAGUUACAAGACGCACCUUAGCGAGAGACACAUUGUCACAUUGCCAAGAGUGUGUGGUAAGACCUUAUUCAUCAUGGAUCCUUAUUCUGGAAGCUUCCUGGAAGAAGAGGCCUUUGAUGUGGACCUUAAAAGAAGAUCUUAAAGGAAGACCUUAGAAGGCCUGCGGGAAGAGAGACAGUAGAAUUGAAAAGAUCCCCAGGCAACACCCAGUGAAGAGAAUGUGGUAUUCAGCCUGUGGCAUUUGAAACAUCUGUUUUGACCAGAAGUAGUGUAAUUCAUCUCAAGUUAAGUCUUUGAGGGAUUUGGGAAUUUUUGCUUUCGUUUUGUUCUGACCAAAGUGGUUGCACCCCAACCCGUUCCCGUAGCUGUAUCAGCUCAGUUCUGUGCAGCCAGCUGUCGGUUUUGUGUGUGACUCACAGGCCAGACCCCGAGCCUCUAGCAGAUGCUUGAAACCCACACAAAACACCCCUGCGAGCCAGUUAACAAAUCUGAAUUUAAAGAACCACCGGCUCCGCGGUUUCCCUUGAGCGUCUAUUAGAAACAAACCCGUCCCACUUUGAUGCUUAAGCCCUCGGUGUUGGAGGCACGUGCAACCACGCCAUCUCGAAACAAAUCAGUUCUCCUUCCCCAAAAACGGACCCCACAGCAUACCAAAAACCCCAGAACAUUCCUCUAUCAGCUCAUGUUUUUUGCUGUUUAGGUGAACUUAAACCGUGAAUGAUUCACUAAGCCACACGUCAAACUAAACACCCAACCAAACUGAACAAAGAAACCUCAGAGAAACAGACACGGCUAAGAACAUCGCAUCUGAUGCAAACCUCUGUAUUGUUUGUUUUUUUGUUUUUUGUGUUUGUUUGUUUUUUGGCUUUUUAGGGCCACACGUGUGGCAUAGGAGGUUCCCAGGCUAGGGGUCAGAUCAGAGCUGCACCUACGGGCCUACACCACAGCCACAGCCACGGAGGGGAUCCAAGCCACAUCUGUGACCUACACCACAGCUCACGGCAACUCCAGAUCCGUAACCCACUGAGCGAGGCCGGGGUUUGAACCUGAAUCCUCAUAGAUGCUAGUCAGGCUCAUUACGGCUGAGCCACAACAGGAGCUCCCAAAUCUCUAACCCUUAUAACUCAUUUUUGAAGAUCUUU